CCCUUAGAUGUUCUGGGCUGCACGCGCGCUACACUGAUGCGAUCAACAAGUUUUUCCUAUGUCGAUAGACACGGGUAAUCUUUUGAACUCGCAUCGUGAUGGGGAUAGAUUAUUGUAAUUAUUAAUCUUCAACGAGGAAUUCCUAGUAGGUGCAAAUCAUCAGUUUGCAUCGAUUACGUCCCUGCCCUUUGUACACAUCGCCCGUCGCUGCUACCGAUUGGUUGAUCUGGUGAAUUAUUCGGACUGCCGGCUGAAGGGGUUUCCUCAUCUGCCAGCGGAAAGUCUUGUUAACCCUAUCAACUAGAGGAAGCAGAAGUCGUAACA
rnacentral:rRNA from 1 species